UCCAUGGCGUACUGCUCAGUAACAAGUAAUCAACUUACCCUACGGUGUGGCAUAACCUCGGGAAACUGAGGCUAAUUCCCCAUAGUUGAAGAUUCCUGGAACGGGUCUUCAUCGAAAGAUUUAUCGCCGUAGGAUAGGAUUGCUCUCGAUUACGGUAGUUGGUGAGGUAAUGGCUCACCAAGCCUCUGAUCGAUAAGGGCCGUGAGAGCGGGAGCCCUGAGAUGGAUACUGAGACAAUGAUCCAGGCCUUACGAGGCGCAGCAGGCGCGAAACCUUUACAAUGCACGCAAGUGUGAUAAGGUUACCCGGAGUGCCGAGAGAAAAACUGUCGGCUGUUAUAGGUGUGUAAACUACCCUAUGAGAAAGGAGAGGGCAAGGCUGGUGCCAGCCGCCGCGGUAAAACCAGCUCUUCAAGUGGUCGGGACUUUUAUUGGGCUUAAAGUGUCCGUAGCCGGUUUAAUAAGUUCCUGGUUAAAUCUGGCAGCUUAACUGUCAGCUCGCUAGGAAUACUGUUUUACUAGAGGGUGGGAAAGGUCUGAGGUACUCUAGGGGUAGCGGUGAAAUGCGAUAAUCCUUAGGGGACCACCAGUGGCGAAGGCGUCAGACUGGAACACGCCUGACGGUGAGGGACGAAAGCCAGGGGAGCGAACGGGAUUAGAUACCCCGGUAGUCCUGGCUGUAAACGUUGCGUGCUAGGUGUUGGUAGGGCUUGGAGCUGUAUCAGUGCCAAAGGGAAACUGUUAAGCGCGCCCGCUGGGAAGUACGCUCGCAAGAGUGAAACUUAAAGGAAUUGGCGGGGGAGCACCACAAGGGUGAAGCCUGCGGUCAAUUGGAUU
rnacentral:rRNA from 1 species